rnacentral:rRNA from 1 species
GAGCGUAGGGCGCGAGCGUUGUCCGGAGUUUAUUGGGCGUAAAGAGCUCGUAGGCGGCUUUGUCGCGUCGGCCGUGAAAAUCUCCGACGCUUAACGUGGAGCGGUGCGGUCGAUACGGGCAGACUUGAGUUCGGUAGGGAGACUGGAAUUCCUGGUGUAGCGGUGAAAUGCGCAGAUAUCAGGAGGAACACCGGUGGCGAAGGCGGGUCUCUGGGCCGAUGACUGACGCUGGAGGAGCGAAAGCGUGGGGAGCGAACAGG